rnacentral:rRNA from 1 species
GCCAAGCGAAAGCAUUAAGUAUUCCACCUGGGGAGUACGCCGGCAACGGUGAAACUCAAAGGAAUUGACGGGGGCCCGCACAAGCGGAGGAACAUGUGGUUUAAUUCGAUGAUACGCGAGGAACCUUACCCGGGCUUAAAUUGCACCUGAAUAAUGUGGAAACAUGUUAGCCGUAAGGCAGGUGUGAAGGUGCUGCAUGGUUGUCGUCAGCUCGUGCCGUGAGGUGUCGGCUUAAGUGCCAUAACGAGCGCAACCCUUAUCUUCAGUUACUAACAGGUCAUGCUGAGGACUCUGGAGAGACUGCCGUCGUAAGAUGUGAGGAAGGUGGGGAUGACGUCAAAUCAGCACGGCCCUUACGUCCGGGGCUACACACGUGUUACAAUGGGAGGUACAGAAGGCCGCUACCUGGCGACAGGAUGCCAAUCCCCAAAACCUCUCUCAGUUCGGAUCGAAGUCUGCAACCCGACUUCGUGAAGCUGGAUUCGCUAGUAAUCGCGCAUCAGCCAUGGCGCGGUGAAUACGUUCCCGGGCCUUGUACUCACCGCCA